AACGACGAUAUGCUUUGGGGAGCUGUAAGUAAGCUUUGAUCCAGAGAUUUCCGAAUGGGGAAACCCAGCAUGAGUUAUGUCAUGUUAUCGAUAUGUGAAUACAUAGCAUAUCAGAAGGCACACCCGGAGAACUGAAACAUCUUAGUACCCGGAGGAAGAGAAAGAAAAUUCGAUUCCCUUAGUAGCGGCGAGCGAAACGGGAAGAGCCCAAACCAACAAGCUUGCUUGUUGGGGUUGUAGGACACUCUAUACGGAGUUACAAAGGACGACAUUAGACGAAUCAUCUGGAAAGAUGAAUCAAAGAAGGUAAUAAUCCUGUAGUCGAAAAUGUUGUCUCUCUUGAGUGGAUCCUGAGUACGACGGAGCACGUGAAAUUCCGUCGGAAUCUGGGAGGACCAUCUCCUAAGGCUAAAUACUCUCUAGUGACCGAUAGUGAACCAGUACCGUGAGGGAAAGGUGAAAAGCACCCCGGAAGGGGAGUGAAAUAGAACCUGAAACCGUGUGCUUACAAGUAGUCAGAGCCCGUUAAUGGGUGAUGGCGUGCCUUUUGUAGAAUGAACCGGCGAGUUACGAUUUGAUGCAAGGUUAAGCAGUAAAUGUGGAGCCGUAGCGAAAGCGAGUCUGAAUAGGGCGUUUAGUAUUUGGUCGUAGACCCGAAACCAGGUGAUCUACCCUUGGUCAGGUUGAAGUUCAGGUAACACUGAAUGGAGGACCGAACCGACUUACGUUGAAAAGUGAGCGGAUGAACUGAGGGUAGCGGAGAAAUUCCAAUCGAACCUGGAGAUAGCUGGUUCUCUCCGAAAUAGCUUUAGGGCUAGCCUCAAGUGAUGAUUAUUGGAGGUAGAGCACUGUUUGGACGAGGGGCCCCUCUCGGGUUACCGAAUUCAGACAAACUCCGAAUGCCAAUUAAUUUAACUUGGGAGUCAGAACAUGGGUGAUAAGGUCCGUGUUCGAAAGGGAAACAGCCCAGACCACCAGCUAAGGUCCCAAAAUAUAUGUUAAGUGGAAAAGGAUGUGGCGUUGCCCAGACAACUAGGAUGUUGGCUUAGAAGCAGCCAUCAUUUAAAGAGUGCGUAAUAGCUCACUAGUCGAGUGACACUGCGCCGAAAAUGUACCGGGGCUAAACAUAUUACCGAAGCUGUGGAUUGUCCUUUGGACAAUGGUAGGAGAGCGUUCUAAGGGCGUUGAAGCAUGAUCGUAAGGACAUGUGGAGCGCUUAGAAGUGAGAAUGCCGGUGUGAGUAGCGAAAGACGGGUGAGAAUCCCGUCCACCGAUUGACUAAGGUUUCCAGAGGAAGGCUCGUCCGCUCUGGGUUAGUCGGGUCCUAAGCUGAGGCCGACAGGCGUAGGCGAUGGAUAACAGGUUGAUAUUCCUGUACCACCUAUAAUCGUUUUAAUCGAUGGGGGGACGCAGUAGGAUAGGCGAAGCGUGCGAUUGGAUUGCACGUCUAAGCAGUAAGGCUGAGUAUUAGGCAAAUCCGGUACUCGUUAAGGCUGAGCUGUGAUGGGGAGAAGACAUUGUGUCUUCGAGUCGUUGAUUUCACACUGCCGAGAAAAGCCUCUAGAUAGAAAAUAGGUGCCCGUACCGCAAACCGACACAGGUAGUCAAGAUGAGAAUUCUAAGGUGAGCGAGCGAACUCUCGUUAAGGAACUCGGCAAAAUGACCCCGUAACUUCGGGAGAAGGGGUGCUCUUUAGGGUUAACGCCCAGAAGAGCCGCAGUGAAUAGGCCCAAGCGACUGUUUAUCAAAAACACAGGUCUCUGCUAAACCGUAAGGUGAUGUAUAGGGGCUGACGCCUGCCCGGUGCUGGAAGGUUAAGAGGAGUGGUUAGCUUCUGCGAAGCUACGAAUCGAAGCCCCAGUAAACGGCGGCCGUAACUAUAACGGUCCUAAGGUAGCGAAAUUCCUUGUCGGGUAAGUUCCGACCCGCACGAAAGGCGUAACGAUUUGGGCACUGUCUCAACGAGAGACUCGGUGAAAUCAUAGUACCUGUGAAGAUGCAGGUUACCCGCGACAGGACGGAAAGACCCCGUGGAGCUUUACUGUAGCCUGAUAUUGAAAUUCGGCACAGCUUGUACAGGAUAGGUAGGAGCCUUUGAAACGUGAGCGCUAGCUUACGUGGAGGCGCUGGUGGGAUACUACCCUAGCUGUGUUGGCUUUCUAACCCGCACCACUUAUCGUGGUGGGAGACAGUGUCAGGCGGGCAGUUUGACUGGGGCGGUCGCCUCCUAAAAGGUAACGGAGGCGCUCAAAGGUUCCCUCAGAAUGGUUGGAAAUCAUUCAUAGAGUGUAAAGGCAUAAGGGAGCUUGACUGCGAGACCUACAAGUCGAGCAGGGUCGAAAGACGGACUUAGUGAUCCGGUGGUUCCGCAUGGAAGGGCCAUCGCUCAACGGAUAAAAGCUACCCCGGGGAUAACAGGCUUAUCUCCCCCAAGAGUUCACAUCGACGGGGAGGUUUGGCACCUCGAUGUCGGCUCAUCGCAUCCUGGGGCUGUAGUCGGUCCCAAGGGUUGGGCUGUUCGCCCAUUAAAGCGGUACGCGAGCUGGGUUCAGAACGUCGUGAGACAGUUCGGUCCCUAUCCGUCGUGGGCGUAGGAAAUUUGAGAGGAGCUGUCCUUAGUACGAGAGGACCGGGAUGGACAUACCUCUGGUGUACCAGUUGUCGUGCCAACGGCAUAGCUGGGUAGCUAUGUGUGGACGGGAUAAGUGCUGAAAGCAUCUAAGCAUGAAGCCCCCCUCAAGAUGAGAUUUCCCAACUUCGGUUAUAAGAUCCCUCAAAGAUGAUGAGGUUAAUAGGUUCGAGGUGGAAGCAUGGUGACAUGUGGAGCUGACGAAUACUAAUCGAUCGAAGACUUAAUCAA
rnacentral:rRNA from 1 species